rnacentral:lncRNA from 10 species
CACAAUUCUCAGAUGAUAUGAGUGUUUCUCUGCAUGGGCAUCAGAGCUGCCACUGCUUGACAUUCCAAGAACUUCCCAGCUACAGGUUCAUCACCUUCUCCUCCCAGGAAAGACAUGUGAGAUUCUGCACAGAGACAGGAAUGUCGUGCCAAAGAGCCUGAAGUCAUGCCAGUGGUGGAGUGCUGAUUGGAACAGACUGGGUUUGGAUGACAUCUCUACUCAUCUGUAAUGGAAGCUGUGUCAAAGUAAACCUUCCUCAGGCACCUGUAGUCUGCCUUGGUUGCUUAGAUUUGUUUGCUGGGGGAUGCCAGCUGCCAUAUUGUGAAGACCCUCAAGCAUCCCUGUGGAGAGGUCCCCAUGGCACAGAAAUGGACUCUCAGCCCAAAAGCCAACAAAGAACCAAGGCCUCAAGCCAGCAGCCAUGGGAAUGGGAAUGUGCCAUCUUGGAAGCCAAUCCUGCAGCCCCAGUCAAGCCUUCAGAUGACAGUAGCCCCAGCCAAUAUCUUCACUGGAUCUUACUGAGAGACUAUGUGCCAGCAUGACCCUACUAAACAACUCUCAAAUUUCUGACCCUCAGAAAUUGUGUGAGAUAAUAAUUGUUUUUUGUUUUAAUAUGCUAAGCUUUAGGUUUGUUUGUUACUCCAAAUUAGACAACUAAUUCAGAAUGCAAUAUAUACACUCAGCCAGGUCAACUCCUCUGCUUCUUGAUGCCUGGGGAGAGUGGAGAGAGUGAUGGAUCCCCAUUAUUAUUGCACCCAGGGUACACUGGUCUGGGUUUAGAAUGUCUUGUGCUUUUUCAACCUUCUGUUCCCACAUUUCUCAGUAGUAUGUAUAUUAAACUCUCUUCAGUAACCCACUUUGAGUCUGCCAUUUUUUCCUGUUAGGUUCCCACCUGAAGUGGCUGCCAUGUAACAUCUACACAAACUCCAGCAAGUGGUGGUGGUAUCACCUGUGCUGUGAAUACCUCCCAGUGCAACCAUGCCUAUCACAUUGGAUGAUGCCAUUCAGAGCUGCUAGUGUCAGCAAAGCCAGGCUCCAGUGUCACCAGGGUGGUUUGCCUGCAUCACAGGUUCUUCGCCGACAUCACCAAUGGCUGUGCUGCCCAGGCUUUGCUCUCUCCAGUGCUCCUUUGAUAUUUGCGCGCCCCCCACCUCCUCCUAGGACUCAGAAGUAAGUCAUGUGAGAUGUGCGGGAAAGGAGCCAAGAGAAGGGCAAUUAGAAUCACCCUGAAGCAAAUUUGUCUUUCCAGGAUGUCCUGCCCAGGGCUUUACUGGGGUCUCACAUGAAUAGCUCUUGGCAGUGCCCCAGUGCACUAGAAAUGCUUAUAAAUUCCUGAAUCCCAAUGUGAACAGAGUUUGGGUCAGUCUGGACCCUUGCUU